CUGCCGGCAACGUUCAAACAUGUUGGCUGACCUGUCGCUGGAACAAUCUGGUGUCUCUGUCAGGCCCCAUCUGUGUAAGUUUGCUGGUGUUGGUAGCAUAUCAUACACAGAUUGCAGGAGGAACUGGAGUUGAAAUUGUGGAUACGUCUAUAUCUCUGAGCAGAUCGAUGUGUUAGACAAAGGUCUGGGAGCCAUUUUGUCCCAGAAGGUGGAGGGCAAGGAAUGUGCAGUGCUAUACAUCAGUCACAAGCUCUUGAUGUAUGAAAGUAAGUACAGCACCAUCGAGAAGGAGUGCCUGGCCAUCGAGUGGGCAGUCCUCAACCUCUGGUACUACCUGCUGGAGUGCCCUUUCACCCUCUGUUCGGACCACGCAUCACUCCAGUGACUCGACUGCAUGAAGGAUGCCAAUGCACAGAUCACCUGUUGGUAUCUCACCCUCCAGCCUUUUAAAUUUGAGGUGUUCCACAGGCCAGCAGGGCAGAUGGUGGACUUUCUGUCCUGUCUGAGGGGUGUUUAGCAUAUUUUUUUUUUUGUUUAUGGCUCAUCAUUGUUUAGACAAUUUUGUCAAUUUAUUA